AGCUUUGUGCAAUGACAGUAUCAUAGCCAAUGAGGUGUUAUCCAAGGCAUUAUUAUUGCUGAUUGAAAACUUUUCCCAAUACCCCACCAUGACAACUUGAAGUUGGCACUGGCAAUUUUUGACAGUCUUUACAGAGA
rnacentral:snRNA from 1 species